CUAUUACUCCCUCCCUCCAACAAAAGAUGUCUCAUGUUUGUCAAAAUUUGGAUGUAUAAAUGCAUUCAAAUUUAGUCAAAGUUGAAACAUCCUUUGUUGGACGGAGGAAGUACAUG
rfam:Brachypodium distachyon strain Bd21 chromosome 1, whole genome shotgun sequence.